rnacentral:lncRNA from 1 species
AGUUGAAACAAUGGUAUAAAGCCCCCUUUGGCUCAGCUAUAGCUCUGGAGUAUUCCAUUGGGCCUGCAGCUCUGAAAAUUCCAAGCCAACUCAAACUGCCCACUCACAGAGCCAAGAUUAGAAACAGGCCUCAAAUGGCAGGUUUUCUUCAAUUUACUCAUCCACAGAAUAUUACCCAAGAAUGCUAUGCUCCAAGAUGUGUUCUGUUCAGCUAUGAAGAUGACUCAUCUGGCUCAUUUACUCUCUGA